UACGUAGGGUGCGAGCGUUAAUCGGAAUUACUGGGCGUAAAGCGUGCGCAGGCGGUUGGCCGUGUCCGAUGUGAAAGCCCCGGGCUUAACCUGGGAAUGGCAUUGGAAACUGGCUGGCUGGAGUGUGGCAGAGGGGGGUGGAAUUCCACGUGUAGCAGUGAAAUGCGUAGAGAUGCGGAGGAACACCGAUGGCGAAGGCAGCCCCCUGGGCUGACACUGACGCCUCAGGCACGAAAGCGUGGGGAGCAAACAGG
rnacentral:rRNA from 1 species